UUAAAAAGCUCGUAGUUGAACCUUGGGCCUAGCCGGCCGGUCCGCCUCACCGCGUGCACUGGCUCGGCUGGGCCUUUCCUUCUGGAGAACCGCAUGCCCUUCACUGGGUGUGUCGGGGAACCAGGACUUUUACUCUGAACAAAUUAGAUCGCUUAAAGAAGGCCUAUGCUCGAAUACAUUAGCAUGGAAUAAUAGAAUAGGACGUGUGGUUCUAUUUUGUUGGUUUCUAGGACCGCCGUAAUGAUUAAUAGGGACAGUCGGGGG
rnacentral:rRNA from 1 species